UUGGUACUACACAUGUGGCCUUCAAUGACCUUAUCUUCAUUUCGUCUUUCUUUCAAGUCAAAAUUGAACAACGGAUUGAGAUUACUAUUACUAAAGACCCUCUCAAAACUAACAGUAGAGAUCAUAAUAAUAUACCUAGUACUAGAGAAAUGCCGUCAUUGUUAUCCGCAAUUCCACUUCUAUUUGUACUACUAAUGGUGUCUUAUGCAACUAGAGAAGCAAAUAAGGUAGCAGCAACAAACUUAGUACAAGCAGUAUCAACACCAGCGAGAUCGAUAAGAAGAAGUGAUAAGGUUGCUAAACGAAUAAUCAGGGACGGUAGUAGGGGUGGCUUACCCAGGCUGUAGCCCACCCCAAAAUGCCUAAAAGUUUAUUUAUGCCAUUGUAAUUCUUUAAGAAAAUAAUAUUAGCCCAGCUAGAGGGAACAUCAGCCGGCUAUACUUUUUACACUAUUUUUUACGUUGGGUUUAUCAGCUCUCCAUAAGGUUCUCUUCGCCUUCACCUUUUUAUCUUGUACUUUUUUCUUUUCCGAGUCUUAGACAUCUAGAAUCUCAUUUAUGUUGUAGUUUGAUCUAUGUAUCCAUACUGAAUUAACACUGAUGUGUUUUGCUGCAUUAAUAUAUAUUAACGGUUCAUUGUUUUUUUUUUAUAUAUAUAUUUUCAGUUUAUCAUGUAUUCAUUUUUUUGAAGAUUCUUACUGUGAAUUAAGAAGAGCGCAGCACUCAGUUGGAUGUAUAUUUUCGAUGCAAAAGACAACAUCUACAAACCGUGUCACUAUGUACUUUCAAGCUAAGUAUGAGAACCAUCUGUAAUCCAUAUCAAAGAGAAUUACAUUUUGUUUGGGGGAAAAGUUGCUCCGUUGUAAUCUUUUUCCUUUUUGUUAAUGAAAAAUUGAGCUAAGCGUCUCCCUCUUAAUUGAGCUACAAGUUACAACAAUCUUAAUGGAUAGUUAUCUUUAUUUCUGAGUA